AUUGAACGCUGGCGGCAUGCUUUACACAUGCAAGUCGAACGAGUGGCGAACGGGUGAGUAAUAUAUCGGAACGUACCGAGUAAUGGGGGAUAACCAAUCGAAAGAUUUGCUAAUACCGCAUAUUAUUCGAACGGCCGAUAACUGAUUAGCUAGUUGGUGGGGUAAAGGCCUACCAAGGCGCCGAUCAGUAGGGGGUCUGAGAGGACGAUUCGCCAGACUGUGCAUGAGACUCGGCCCAGACGCCUGCGGGAGGCAGCAGGGGGGAAUUUUGGACAAUGGGGGCAACCCUUAGCCCGCCAUGCCGCGUGUAUGAAGAAGGCCUUCGGGUUGUAAAGUACUUUUGUUAGGGAAGCGGUACCUAAAGAAUAAGCACCGGCUAACUACGUGCCAGCAGCCGCGGUAAUUC
rnacentral:rRNA from 1 species